GCUUGCUGGGUGGAUUAGUGGCGAACGGGUGAGUAAUACGUGAGUAACCUGCCCUUGACUCUGGGAUAAGCCUGGGAAACUGGGUCUAAUACUGGAUACUACCGCCCACCGCAUGGUGGGUGGUGGAAAGGGUUUUACUGGUUUUGGAUGGGCUCACGGCCUAUCAGCUUGUUGGUGGGGUAAUGGCUCACCAAGGCGACGACGGGUAGCCGGCCUGAGAGGGUGACCGGCCACACUGGGACUGAGACACGGCCCAGACUCCUACGGGAGGCAGCAGUGGGGAAUAUUGCACAAUGGGCGGAAGCCUGAUGCAGCGACGCCGCGUGAGGGAUGACGGCCUUCGGGUUGUAAACCUCUUUCAGUAGGGAAGAAGCGAGAGUGACGGUACCUGCAGAAGAAGCGCCGGCUAACUACGUGCCAGCAGCCGCGGUAAUACGUAGGGCGCAAGCGUUGUCCGGAAUUAUUGGGCGUAAAGAGCUCGUAGGCGGUUUGUCGCGUCUGCUGUGAAAGCCCGGGGCUCAACCCCGGGUCUGCAGUGGGUACGGGCAGACUAGAGUGCAGUAGGGGAGACUGGAAUUCCUGGUGUAGCGGUGAAAUGCGCAGAUAUCAGGAGGAACACCGAUGGCGAAGGCAGGUCUCUGGGCUGUUACUGACGCUGAGGAGCGAAAGCAUGGGGAGCGAACAGGAUUAGAUACCCUGGUAGUCCAUGCCGUAAACGUUGGGCACUAGGUGUGGGGGACAUUCCACGUUUUCCGCGCCGUAGCUAACGCAUUAAGUGCCCCGCCUGGGGAGUACGGCCGCAAGGCUAAAACUCAAAGGAAUUGACGG
rnacentral:rRNA from 1 species